rnacentral:rRNA from 1 species
CGAACGCUGAAGCUUGGUGCUUGCACUGGGUGGAUGAGUGGCGAACGGGUGAGUAAUACGUGAGUAACCUGCCCUUGACUCUGGGAUAAGCCUGGGAAACUGGGUCUAAUACUGGAUACGACAUGUCACCGCAUGGUGGUGUGUGGAAAGGGUUUUACUGGUUUUGGAUGGGCUCACGGCCUAUCAGCUUGUUGGUGGGGUAAUGGCUCACCAAGGCGACGACGGGUAGCCGGCCUGAGAGGGUGACCGGCCACACUGGGACUGAGACACGGCCCAGACUCCUACGGGAGGCAGCAGUGGGGAAUAUUGCACAAUGGGCGAAAGCCUGAUGCAGCGACGCCGCGUGAGGGAUGACGGCCUUCGGGUUGUAAACCUCUUUCAGCACGGAAGAAGCGAAAGUGACGGUACGUGCAGAAGAAGCGCCGGCUAACUACGUGCCAGCAGCCGCGGUAAUACGUAGGGCGCAAGCGUUGUCCGGAAUUAUUGGGCGUAAAGAGCUCGUAGGCGGUUUGUCGCGUCUGCUGUGAAAGCCCGGGGCUUAACCCCGGGUGUGCAGUGGGUACGGGCAGACUUGAGUGCAGUAGGGGAGACUGGAAUUCCUGGUGUAGCGGUGAAAUGCGCAGAUAUCAGGAGGAACACCGAUGGCGAAGGCAGGUCUCUGGGCUGUUACUGACGCUGAGGAGCGAAAGCAUGGGGAGCGAACAGGAUUAGAUACCCUGGUAGUCCAUGCCGUAAACGUUGGGCACUAGGUGUGGGGAACAUUC